UACGUAGGGCGCGAGCGUUGUCCGGAAUUAUUGGGCGUAAAGAGCUCGUAGGCGGCUGUCACGUCGAAUGUGAAAUCCUCAGGGCUCAACUCUGACAUUGCAUUCGAUACGGGCAGGCUAGAGUCGGUAGGGGAGACUGGAAUUCCUGGUGUAGCGGUGAAAUGCGCAGAUAUCAGGAAGAACACCCGUGGCUAAGGCGGCUCUCUAGUACGGUACUGACGCUAGAGCGAAAGCGUGGGGAGCGAACAGG
rnacentral:rRNA from 1 species